AUGGUAUGACUGGUACAAUUGGUUUCUCCCUUCUGACGAAGCAUGAUGUCAUUAAUUUGGUGUCGUGGGGAAUCAGGACUGUUACUUUGAAAAAAUUAGAGUGUUUAAAGCAAGCAUUAGCUUGAAUACAUUAGCAUGGAAUAAUGAAAUAGGACGUUUGAUCCUAUUUCGUUGGUUUCUAGGAUCGACGUAAUGAUUAAUAGGGAUAGUUGGGGGCAUUAGUAUUCAAUUGUCAGAGGUGAAAUUCUUGGAUUUAUUGAAGACUAACUACUGCGAAAGCAUUUGCCAAGGAUGUUUUCAUUAAUCAAGAACGAAAGUUAGGGGAUCGAAGACGAUCAGAUACCGUCGUAGUCUUAACCAUAAACUAUGCCGACUAGGGAUCGGAUGAUGUUAAUUUUUUAAUGACUCAUUCGGCGCCAUACG
rnacentral:rRNA from 1 species